UUAUACGGUGCCCUGGUGUGCAUUAGAUAAAGGGCACACAGCUGGGCUGGCAGAUCACUGGAAGACAGGUGCCCUUGUGCAGUGAACAACACAUACCACAUUCAGGGCAAUUGCAUUUGCUAGAUGGACAGAGGGAGACUGGGAAGAACAUUCCGGACAGAGAAGACAGAAUAAGCAAGGACAUAAAAAUGGUAAAUUCAUUCUAGAGCAGAGAUAGUAGAACUGGGGUGGGGAGCCCUGAUUGAAUGGUAUUGGGGAACAGUGGGGUCGCCUUGGCAACUGAGGAGUAUGGGGGAAGGGGGCGACAGAGGAGAGCAUUCAGAAAGACUCCCGUAUUUUAGCCUUGGGUACCUGAAUGGUGCAGCACUAAUGAGACCCAAGGAGACGCAGACAGAGCAGCCCCUGCUCUCAUUCCCCAGUGCCUGGCUGAAAGUGCCGGUGGUUCCUUUCCAGUUUCCUGAGGUUGUCCCCCUUAACAUUGGAGGGGCUCACUUCACCACACGCCUGUCUACACUGCGGCGCUAUGAGGACACCAUGCUGGCGGCCAUGUUCAGCGGGCGGCAUUACAUCCCCACCGACGCCGAGGGCCGGUACUUCAUUGACCGGGAUGGCACGCACUUUGGAGAUGUGCUGAAUUUUCUGCGCUCAGGCGACCUGCCGCCCCGGGAGCGUGUACGGGCUGUGUACAAAGAGGCCCAGUACUAUGCCAUCGGUCCCCUCCUGGAGCAGCUAGAGAACAUGCAGCCUCUGAAGGGGGAGAAAGUGCGCCAGGCAUUUCUGGGACUCAUGCCCUAUUACAAAGACCAUUUGGAGCGGAUCGUGGAGAUUGCCCGGCUGCGUGCGGUACAGCGGAAGGCCCGCUUUGCCAAGCUCAAGGUCUGUGUCUUCAAGGAGGAGAUGCCCAUCACCCCCUACGAGUGUCCGCUUCUCAACUCCCUGCGCUUCGAGCGGAGCGAGAGCGAUGGGCAGCUCUUUGAGCACCAUUGCGAGGUGGAUGUGUCUUUUGGGCCCUGGGAGGCUGUGGCUGAUGUUUAUGACCUACUGCACUGCCUGGUCACGGACCUCUCAGCCCAGGGCCUCGUCGUGGACCACCAGUGCAUCGGGGUGUGUGACAAGCACCUCAUCAACCACUACUACUGCAAGCGUCCCAUCUAUGAGUUCAAGAUCACGUGGUGGUGAGUAGCCCUGCUAGGGACAGAGGCCUGUCAGGGAGGGCGUCUGUUCUCUUUAGUGGCUCUGGGAGUAGGAUCCUGAGAGGGACACUAACUGCCCCAGACCCGCUGAGGUGAGGACCAAGUCCUGAGGCACAGCUGCAAGGGGAAGGAGGUCUCCUGGCAGCUCCAGCCUCCCGGCUGUACCUUGAGGUCAGGCUCAGGGCUUAUGGCCCGGAGGGACUUGCACCCGCGCUCUCCUGACCUUUCCUCAGGGCACGGCAGUCUUUUCCUGAGGCUGAUGGGGUCUGGCGAGCUAGGGCUGGACCAGGAAGUCCAGAGAGGUUUUGUCACUCUCCUGGUCUUGCAAGAGAGUUUCUGCCCUUAGUGCCACGUUACCAGACUAAUAGAGGCAUGAUCCCUUCCUCAGCCCUGUUCGAGGGCACCCUUGCGUGCGCCUAGCACACAGGUAUGAACACGGAUUGCGAUGGGGGUUACCCAAGGACCUACCCCACAGCCCCUGACUGAAGGAGAAGCAUUUUCUCUCCCUCUUCCCCCAGGGAUAGUUCCAGGCUUUGUUUUAGGAUGUGGAGAGACUCUUCCUCCUGAAACAUAGUCUUCACCACCUUUUGGAGAUGUAACCAUAGUUGCCAAAGCCGUGCACCAGGUUGGCCUUAGAAGAGCACAAUGUUUACAGCCCUGCCUUAGGGCCGCAGCUUCUCCUACCUUCCACCAACCUUCCUUGCUUGAAGGGUUAUCUUCUCAGGGCUGUAAUGUAGACUUCAGAGGUUCCUUUCGAAGAUUCCCUGAGUCAAGCAGGCAGGUUGCCUAGAUCUUCUGUUAUCUUUGAGAUGUAACAUCCUUUCUGGAGGCUCAGAAUAUCUCUUUGGCUGCCAUUUCAUGUGUUAGCAUCCAAUUUGUGGUGAACCUCUGUAGAUAGGAACCCCCUCUUUUUUAAACCCUGCUGCUUUACCCUGCUCACGUUCUCCUAGGAGAAGUGUCUGUUCUGAGGAAGCAAACAAAGGCUUGGGUGGGAGGCACAGCUAUACCAGGAGCUGUAGGACAGUUGUAGCAAACCUCCAUCACGCUGUACUCUCCACAUCUCAGACAGAGAAAAAGAUCCACAGGGUCCUGCUCCCACUGCAUUUCCUUCUUGCUCCGUCUUCAGACCAGGGCAGUUAAGCAGGCGGUGGACAUGCGUCUCCUGAAAGAAGAGCUGCGCGGCACCAGCAGUGGGAACGUAACAUUCCUGUGCUUCAUUAAGGGCUUCUCCCUGUGAUCAUGACUUGUGCUUGACGGUCCUGGGUAUUUGUUAGGGAGAUUUUUUUAUAUGUAAAACACAGGUAAGGACAGCCUCAUUGGUCUCAGUCCUACAAGACCAGAUUGAUGAGGUAGGGGGAGGGGGAGCUGAAGAUGUCUGCAUCCUUCUGAGGAAGAGAAGGCCAAGUCCUGGGACCUCGCUGAACCCCUCAGUGGGGCAGUGAUCUCCUGGCCCUCUGUGGAACGGGUUGCGGGGCGCAGUUUUGCACUCCCACGUCAUGUGGUGGAACAGAGGUCCACACGGUGUUCUAAGAGGAAGGUAAAGUCAGUUGUUGAGCUUCUGAGAUAUGUGUUCUCUCUGUUGUUCUCAUCCACAACUGAAUCAUCACUGUUCUGGAGUUGAUGUCCCUGCUUAAAGCUUACUCCAACAACAUGGCUCUUGUCUUGUUCUAAUAGAAGUCCUUCACUGAAUUUGCUCCGAUCGGUGUUACUGCCUAAUGCAAACUCAUUUUUGGACAGACACUGAGGCAAGCUCUUCGGGAGAAAGCUGGUGUAGGAGUGUGCCCACCCAGUCUAGGCACAGAGCUCUCCCCUCUCGUGUUGAGAGGUCUCCAGGGGAAGAAGAUACCACAGGUGCACAGUCACUUUGUAGCUCCCAACCACGUCAGGUGGUUCCUAAAGGAAUCCCUUGUCAUUCACCACUUCUUUCAAGGGAGAGAGAAAUGGCUCUAAGCUUAUGUGGGCCUCAGUGGUUAAGACCAGUCCUUGAGGAAAAUGGACUUGAGUUGUUCUUCCUCUGGAAGCAGAGUUUGACACCUUCCUGGCUAAUGAGUAUCCUCAUCAAGAUGUCCCUUGGAGUCACUCCAUGGAUUAACCCAGAAAGGUGAGUCCUGACGUGCUGGGUAGCUAUGCCGCCCUCCAACUGCUUCCUUAAAUCUCCGAUUAUUCUGACUUUUAAAGCACUGCAUCACCUGUGCCAAGUAUGUCCCUGACCUACU